rnacentral:rRNA from 1 species
UACGUAGGGUGCGAGCGUUACUCGGAAUUACUGGGCGUAAAGCGUGCGCAGGCGGUUCGUUGUGUCGGUGGUGAAAGCCCCGGGCUUAACCUGGGAAUGGCCAUGGAAACUGGCGAACUGGAGUGUGGCAGAGGGGGGUGGAAUUCCGAGUGUAGAGGUGAAAUUCGUAGAUAUUCGGAAGAACACCAGUGGCGAAGGCGGCUCACUGGACUGGUAUUGACGCUGAGGUGCGAAAGCGUGGGGAGCAAACAGG